GACGAACGCUGGCGGCGUGCUUAACACAUGCAAGUCGAACGGAAAGGCCCUGCUUUUGUGGGGUGCUCGAGUGGCGAACGGGGGAGUAACACGUGAGUAACCUGCCCUUGACUUUGGGAUAACUUCAGGAAACUGGGGCUAAUACCGGAUAGGAGCUCCUGCUGCAUGGUGGGGGUUGGAAAGUUUCGGCGGUUGGGGAUGGACUCGCGGCUUAUCAGCUUGUUGGUGGGGUAGUGGCUUACCAAGGCUUUGACGGGUAGCCGGCCUGAGAGGGUGACCGGCCACAUUGGGCCUGUGAUGCGGCCCAGACUCCUACGGGAGGCAGCAGUGGGGAAUAUUGCACGAUGCGCGGAAGCCUGAUGCAGCAACGCCGCGUGCGGGAUGACGGCCUUCGGGUUGUAAACCGCUUUCGCCUGUGACGAAGCGUGAGUGACGGUAAUGGGUAAAGAAGCACCGGCUAACUACGUG
rnacentral:rRNA from 1 species